rnacentral:SRP_RNA from 1 species
GCCUGGCAUAGUGGUGCACAUGCCUGUAGUCCCAGCUACUCCGGAGGCUGAGGCAAGAGGAUCGCUUGAGCCCAGGGGUGCUAGGCUGUAGUGCGCUAUGCCGAUUGGGUAUUCAUGCUAAGUUUGGCAUCAGUAUGGUGAUCUCCUGGGAGUGGGGAACCCACCAGGUUACCUAAGAGGGGUGAACCAGCCCAGGUCAGGGAAACAGAGCGGGUCAAAACUCCUGCACUGAUCAGUAGUGGGAUUGCCACCGUGAACAGCCACUGCACUCCAGCUGGGGCAACACAGCAAGAUCCUGUCUCU